rnacentral:rRNA from 1 species
AGAAGAGACCGGAACACAGGUGCUGCAUGGCUGUCGUCAGCUCGUGUCGUGAGAUGUUGGGUUAAGUCCCGCAACGAGCGCAACCCUUGUCAUUAGUUGCCAUCAUUUGGUUGGGCACUCUAAUGAGACUGCCGGUGACAAACCGGAGGAAGGUGGGGAUGACGUCAAGUCCUCAUGGCCCUUAUGGGUAGGGCUUCACACGUCAUACAAUGGUCGGUACAGAGGGUUGCCAACCCGCGAGGGGGAGCUAAUCCCACAAAGCCGAUCGUAGUCCGGAUCGCAGUCUGCAACUCGACUGCGUGAAGUCGGAAUCGCUAGUAAUCGUGGAUCAGCAUGUCACGGUGAAUACGUUCCCGGGUCUU